UAUCUCGAUCCCCCUCCCCCGCGUCCGAAUCCCAAACCCUAACCCACCUGCGCCGACGACACCAUCCCCCCGCCGCCGAUCUUGACCUGCACGCUGCUCAGCUCCAGCCAUGGCAUCUCAUACCCCCAGCGUCCUCUUCCUUAUCCCGCCGUCAGGUCGUAGGAUUUGCCCCGCCGUCCGCUGCCAUGGAUCUGCCGCCAAGUCCGCUUCCGAGGAGCCACCGUCCGCUCCUGCUGUUUCCCGGCAGGGCAGCUGCUGCUGAGGAGUCCGCUGCCGAGGAGCGGUCGUCCUGUCCGCUUCCUUGGAGUCGUCCGUAGCUGAGGAGCAACCGAUGUACUUCCUUGAGAUUGACCCCCUUGUCCUUCUCAGCCUCCAGAACGCUGUAGGUAAACAUAUUCGAUCUGUGAAUGUUCAGGACUAGCGUCUGCUUGACUGACUACCAGAUACGCCAUUCGUGCUCUUGCAGGUGGCGAAGAUAAAGACUGGCUUUGGCGUGUUGUUGCACAGUGCACCGGUGGAUGCGCAAAGAUAAACCAGAAUAUGUAAUGUGUUCUGAAGCUGAAACAAAAUGCAAUGGUAAUUGAUGAACGGCCCAUUGAUCCUUCCUGUCCAUAUAUGGUAUAGCUUCAACACGACCAGCACUCCUAUUUCAUCUUUUAUAGUGAUCCCUACAUGUUAAAGAGAGCUUUGUUUGUGUUGCCUGUAGUGUGGUUCAGGGUUUCAAAAGUAGAUGCCGAGCUACCUAGAUACUGUGAUGCUUCUGCAUGAGUGGUGUUAGUUUUAUUGUACUUUGCAGUUUGUUUUAUGUUCUCUUCUGUCACUUCACGUCUUGGUAUAUUCUUCCUUGGUUCCCCAUUAUUCAAGUUUUUGUCUAUUUAAUAUGUAAUGAAUACUGAAAUUUUUGUUUCGACAUUGACAAUUUGAGUUUCUACAUUUCACUGGUAGUUGUGAAUCACUCCUGAAGGUACAUCCAUGAGGGACAAAAGGUUAUUUGGCGCUAGCAAUUAUUAACCACAUCUAAUCUGAUGCAUGUAUAUCAUGUAGGAAGAUGAUGACUUGUUCAUCCAGAAGCGUGUACCCCACCUAGAAGCCAUGCAGGCCUUGAGGAAUUCAGAGCAAGUUUGGUUCGCGGCCUGGUUAAGUCUCGCCUGGCCUAGACGUUGCAUGCUUGCAUGUAGGUUCUUUGGUGCAAAUACUGAAAAAGCCUGGCAUAGCCUAGCCUGUAGUUUGCAUGCUGGUGAUUAGCCUGGGCAGUACAGCCAGGGGGUAGUUAGCCUGACCCAGGCAUGGGAAUUUGGGUGCCUCGUCACACGAAGGAGCUCAUGCACUUACAGUAGUAAUAGCACAUUAGAUAUGAUCACUUGAUUAGUAAAAUAUAUUCUCAUAAUUGUGUCUUCAGCUUAGUUCCAAUAUGCAAUAUGAAAUUUUGUAGUAGUACUGCUGUAGCUAAUCGUGCCCAAGUAUUAAAUUUACAUAUGUUUUGAACUUUGCAAGUGCAUAUGUAUGCAAAUUUCAAAGCAUAUGUAGCUUUUGGAACUGAGCUGAAGACAGUCAUAUUUGGAUUGUUUAUAACUUUCUUAUUGUGAAUAUUUGAGAGCCCAUGCAAGAUGGUAAGAUGAACUUUGCCUACAUAUGCACCUGAGAGCACGUGCAUAUUAUAAGUACCAGUUUACAGUACCAUUUACUACACAACUUAGUACAUUCUAUUAACAAGUGCAUAUGUGAUUGUUUGCUGAUUGGGGAACUUCAAAUGCAAUGCUCUAUAUAGUUACAAUAAGAACCGUAUUCAUGAUGCCUUAUAACAGAUUUGAUUGCUUAUCAAUCAGGGCAUAAAUUUUGAUCGUAAGCCAUGUGAACCUUACUCAUGUUUCCUUAUAACAGAUUUGAUUGCUUAUCAAUCCGUGCAUACAUUUUGACUGUAAGCCAUGUGAUAUGCUAGGUGCUAGCUUGGCUUGGGUUGAUGUUCAGAUAAGGACAUAUUCUUGUUACCUGUUUGUUGUAAAUCUACUUUUUAGAUCUUUAUGAUCAAGGGCCAAUCACGAAUUUGAACAACUUCUCAUUUUCGAAGAUUGCUCAAAUAUAUGAGUUCUUUUGUAGGGACAAAUGGAAAAAGUAGCAAGUCCACAAGUUGAUGUAAGAUGUUCAAGUGACCGCUUUUGUUUAACAUGGUUGGCACAUUCUGUUCAUAUGGAAGGUGAUGUGAGCUUGGUGGUCAAAGACUUGGUCUCUUCCGUAAUAUUUUGUAGUACUCGAGUGAUCAAACAAUUGGUCUCUUAGGAAAUGGCCAUCAUAUUUUGUAACAGGCCUUGGCAUGAAUGUCGACUUGUGUAUUUCGUUAACGAUUGUAGCUAACUUGAGUGAAGAAAACUAACGGAUCUUCUAUACAUGAAUGAAUGCAUUGAUCAAUGGUA